rnacentral:misc_RNA from 1 species
CCCUAACAUUGGAAUGGCAUUGUCAACUACAGCAGCCAUGACAUUUGUUAUCAUUGACUUAGCCAUUGAAGUAAUACACCUCGAAGCAGCCAAUCUAACUGCAACGUGGGAAUGGCGAACACAUUUGNNNNNNNAUGGGAGAAGUGUGAGCAACUUAGGCUUCAAUGUCUCGUCCAAAAUUGGAGCAACAGAACGUACUACCUGAAUAUUAUUUAUGAGGACUUGAGGAUCUUUCACAGACUCAAUACUCAGUGCAAUUUGUCGUUCAUCUGUGGGACUUCCAGGCAUCAGAACUUCAGUGAGGCAAUCCCAAAGUUUUGGAAGUUUGUCAAAUAAGGAAGCACCAAAUUUC